rnacentral:rRNA from 1 species
GACAGAGGAGGCAAGCGUUGUCCGGAAUCACUGGGCGUAAAGCGCACGUAGGCGGCUUCUUAAGUCAGGGGUGAAAUCCUGGAGCUCAACUCCAGAACUGCCUUUGAUACUGGGGAGCUCGAGUCCGGGAGAGGUGAGUGGAACUACGAGUGUAGAGGUGAAAUUCGUAGAUAUUCGCAAGAACACCAGUGGCGAAGGCGGCUCACUGGCCCGGUACUGACGCUGAGGUGCGAAAGCGUGGGGAGCAAACAGG